rnacentral:lncRNA from 1 species
CUUUCUGCUGCUGCUGCUGAAAUGUCUUCUCCUUAAGACUGGCCAAAUGAAGAGCAAAGCUCAUUAAGAGGCUCAAUUAAUACAACCAACUUCAAGUUACAAAAGUGGAAAAGCUCCCUGUGCAAGGAUGCUCAACUGGUACCACUCCCCCUGUUCCCCAUGGGUCCUCUAGGCAAAGAAAAUGAAUCUUUUGUUCUAGUUUCAUGAUCCUCUCCUAGAACUGAGUCGGGAGAAGUUGUGAGAACAUUUAUAUGACAUAUAUAUAUGCAUGCAAUUGCAUGCUGUGCUGUCAGAGGUUGUGUGCUUUCUGGAACAGGUGACAGCCCUCCAGACUCUUCAGACCAGAGGGGGAGAGAAGCUCUGUGAAUUACAAAAGACCUGUGCAAUGGAAAAGGAGCCCAGAAAACAAUUUGUUUAUUAUAAGCAGGUCAGUCCUCCAGGGAAUUCGUGGAAUCAUGCAGUGGGAGAAGACAAUCACAGCACUGAAAUGGGCCUGGAGUAUCUGACAUUAAGAAACGUGGCAGUGACCAAUAGAAAGAAGAAAGUACAACUGCUCAUGGGAUUUUCAAUCUUCUCAUUGGUACAUCUCAUGAAAGAUUGCCUAAGAAUUUAUCUUUUUUUUUUUUUCAACAAAACAUAAUAGUAUUUAUUGCAAUAAAAGAAUGUCAAGAACACUUUGGGGAUGCA